CUCAGCUGGCCAAUUGGCGUCUUUUCUACAGUUGUUGGCUUACGUGUGUUGUCAUUGGCUACGUCCUGUGUCGUCAUUUGCUGCGACGUGACUCGUCAUUGGCGAAAUCCUCUGGGAGGAGCGCAGAGAGGCGGGGAAACGAAGUCGGAAAACAUAUUUAAACCAACAUUUGAACUGUUUCUUCGGUUUGUCAGUACUGUGAGACAACUUAAUUACCGAGGAAGCCUGGAUGCUAAAACAAGCCCCGGAGCUGCUCUUUUGUCGAACACGAGUGAGACUGGUCGCUGAACACACCUGCGGCAGGAAGGUUUACUUGUUGUUACUUGUUGCUACUGCAGCCUGGACAGACACCAACAGGUGUCACCACUUUGUCCACGACAUCGUCCAUGAUCGGAGAGACAUUGUUGAGGAUGAGGGAGACAUCGUCCAUGAUCAGAGACAUUGUCCAUGGUCGCAGAGACCUUGUCAAAGAUGAGAGAGACAUUGUCCAUGAUCAGAGACAUUGUCCCAUGCUUCGUAGAGACCUUGCGAUAGAAUCGGCGGAGACGGGGGUCACCGAUUUGACGGCAUUGCCCGCGAUCAUGGAGACAUUGUCGAUGAUCACAGAGACAGCGUCUAUGAUCUCAGAGACAUCAUCCAUGAUCACAAAGACAUUGUCCAUGAUCACAGAGACUUUGUCCAUAAUCUCAGAGACAUUGUCCGCGAUCACAGAGACGUAGUUCAAGAUCACAGUCUUCGUACAAUGAAGAAAUUCUUUAAGACCAGGACAGAGGCCUCCAGGUGUCACCACUUUGUCCACGACAUCGUCCACGAUCGCAGAGACUUCGUCCAUGAUCGGAGAGACAUUGUUGAGGAUGAGGGAGACAUCGUCCAUGAUCAGAGACAUUGUCCAUGGUCGCAGAGACCUUGUCAAAGAUGAGAGAGACAUUGUCCAUGAUCAGAGACAUUGUCCCAUGCUUCGUAGAGACCUUGCGAUAGAAUCGGCGGAGACGGGGGUCACCGAUUUGACGGCAUUGCCCGCGAUCAUGGAGACAUUGUCGAUGAUCACAGAGACAGCGUCUAUGAUCUCAGAGACAUCAUCCAUGAUCACAAAGACAUUGUCCAUGAUCACAGAGACUUUGUCCAUAAUCUCAGAGACAUUGUCCGCGAUCACAGAGACGUAGUUCAAGAUCACAGUCUUCGUACAAUGAAGAAAUUCUUUAAGACCAGGACAGAGGCCUCCAGGUGUCACCACUUUGUCCACGACAUCGUCCACGAUCGCAGAGACUUCGUCCAUGAUCGGAGAGACAUUGUUGAGGAUGAGGGAGACAUCGUCCAUGAUCAGAGACAUUGUCCAUGAUCGCAGAGACCUUGUCAAAGAUGAGAGAGACGUUGUCCAUGAUCAGAGACAUUGUCCCAUGCUUCGUAGAGACCUUGCGAUAGAAUCGGCGGAGACGGGGGUCACCGAUUUGACGGCAUUGCCCGCGAUCAUGGAGACAUUGUCGAUGAUCACAGAGACAGCGUCUAUGAUCUCAGAGACAUCAUCCAUGAUCACAAAGACAUUGUCCAUGAUCACAGAGACUUUGUCCAUAAUCUCAGAGACAUUGUCCGCGAUCACAGAGACGUAGUUCAAGAUCACAGUCUUCGUACAAUGAAGAAAUUCUUUAAGACCAGGACAGAGGCCUCCAGGUGUCACCACUUUGUCCACGACAUCGUCCACGAUCGCAGAGACUUCGUCCAUGAUCGGAGAGACAUUGUUGAGGAUGAGGGAGACAUCGUCCAUGAUCAGAGACAUUGUCCAUGAUCGCAGAGACCUUGUCAAAGAUGAGAGAGACGUUGUCCAUGAUCAGAGACAUUGUCCCAUGCUUCGUAGAGACCUUGCGAUAGAAUCGGCGGAGACGGGGGUCACCGAUUUGACGGCAUUGCCCGCGAUCAUGGAGACAUUGUCGAUGAUCACAGAGACAGCGUCUAUGAUCUCAGAGACAUCGUCCAUGAUCACAAAGACAUUGUCCAUGAUCACAGAGACUUUGUCCAUAAUC